rfam:Lacunisphaera limnophila strain IG16b chromosome, complete genome.
GCUCGCGGCCUCUCCUGAGGUUCUUUCAUUUUAAUUCAGCAGUCACAGGGAAGGCCGUGAAAACCGGCCACAGUAGCGCUGCGGUAACGCAUCACAGACCCCCAUUCCGCUUCAGGGCGGGAGCAGAGCCAGUUUCCGACUCCGGUCGGGGGCGAAGGCGGGGGCGAGGCCGGUGCGAGGCACCGAAUCUGAGAUUUCAAAUUUGAGAUUUCACAUUCGGGUGCGUCGCACCCGAUAUGCGGAGUCCGAACAUCUGUCUGCGGAAACUCACCGCG